UACGAGGGGGGCAAAUGUUGUUCGGAAUCACUGGGCGUAAAGGGCGCGUAGGUGGCCCGGUCAGCGUGCGGUGAAAGCUCGGGGCUCAACCCCGAGUCGGCCGUGCGAACUGCUGGGCUUGAGCACUGUAGAGGCAGGCGGAAUUCCGGGUGUAGCGGUGGAAUGCGUAGAGAUCCGGAAGAACACCGGUGGCGAAGGCGGCCUGCUGGGCAGUGGCUGACACUGAGGCGCGACAGCGUGGGGAGCAAACAGG
rnacentral:rRNA from 1 species